UCAGCUGCGCAGGCCCUCAAGGAGCGGGGACCUGCAGUUUCCAGGCUGACUUGGGGACUCAGUCGGCAGGAGUGGAAGCCUCACUUCCGUGUCAGGCGCAAGCCCUGGUUUCCAGCCCAGCUCCACCCGCAGCUCAGCAGAGGGGCCUCUUUCCCAUGUGGACCCUGCUCCUGUGUCGGUUCGGAAAAGACGGGGCUCCAGGGUGAAUCCUGACACGCCGUGCAUGUGCUGUGCCGGAUGCCAGGCAUGGGAGAAGAUGAGCCGUGGUCCCUAACCCUGCGGUGCUUACUGUGCAAUGGGAAGACAAGCAAGAAGUGAGGAGCGUGUCCUGUGUCCAGAAGGCCGGUUGGAACUAACCACUUUUCAGGUAAGCAUUCCAUGGGGGUCUACGGUCACCCAGACACCAGGCAACUGUCAGAAACAUGCCUUCAGGUUUGUCCUUAUUUUGGGCUGAUGACAGCAAAGGCCACUUUGGGUUUGGCAGGUGACUUGGGAAUUGUCAGCUUACAGGAUGUGCUUCUCCCAUCUGACACGACACUCAGGAUGCUCUGUAGUAACCACUGAAAACAAAGCAUUCCCUGUUCUCUGAAUCAGGGAGUUCACUAACUCAUGUUAUGGGACAAAGAAAUACCCAAGGACCUCUGCCUAGGGAGGGUGUAACAAUAGAACCCGGGAUCACUCUUUCCCUUCCAUUUUUCAAAAUGUUCUCCUCCAUAUAAAGGGAUAUUAUUACAAGUUAAUAAAUAGUUGUAAAUGAUGUAGGA